rnacentral:rRNA from 1 species
UACGAAGGGGGCUAGCGUUGCUCGGAAUUACUGGGCGUAAAGGGCGCGUAGGCGGAUAUUUAAGUUAGAGGUGAAAGCCCCGGGCUCAACCUGGGAAUGCCGCUUAAUACUGCCUAACUAGAGUAUUGUAGAGGAAAGUGGAAUUUCCGGUGUAGCGGUGAAAUGCGUAGAUAUCGGAAGGAACAUCAGUGGCGAAGGCGACUUUCUGGACAAAUACUGACACUGAGGCACGAAAGCAUGGGGAGCAAACAGG